rnacentral:rRNA from 1 species
GACGGAGGGGGCAAGCGUUGUCCGGAAUCACUGGGCGUAAAGCGCACGUAGGCGGUUGGGUGCGUCGGUGCUGAAAGCGCCCCGCUUAACGGGGUGAGGUGUGCCGAUACGACCCGACUGGAGGCAGGCAGAGGGUGGCGGAAUUCCGGGUGUAGUGGUGAAAUGCGUAGAGAUCCGGAGGAACGCCGGUGGUGUAGACGGCCACCUGGGCCUGACCUGACGCUGAGGUGCGAAAGCGUGGGGAGCGAAC